rnacentral:rRNA from 1 species
GUCCACGCUGUAAACGAUGGGAACUAGGUGUGAGAGGUUAGAUCCUCUCGUGCCGCCGCUAACGCAUUAAGUUCCCCGCCUGGGGAUUACGGCCGCAAGGUUAAAACUCAAAGGAAUUGACGGGGCCCGCACAAGCGGUGGAGCAUGUGGUUCAAUUCGACGCAACGCGAAGAACCUUACCUGGGCUAGACAACGGUGGACCGCCCCAGAGAUGGGGCUUUCCCUUCGGGGACUGCCGGUUCAGGUGCUGCAUGGCUGUCGU